rnacentral:rRNA from 1 species
GAUGAACGCUGGCGGCGUGCCUAAUACAUGCAAGUCGAGCGAACGGACGCGAAGCUUUUUUCUCUGAUGUUAGCGGCGGACGGGUGAGUAGUACGUGGAUAACCUACCUCUAAGACUGGGAUAACUUCGGCAAACCGGAGCUGAUAACGGAUAAUAUUUUGAACCGCAUGGUUCAAAAGUGAAAGACGGUCUUGCUGUCGCUUAUAGAUGGAUUCGCGCUGCAUUAGCUAGUUGGUAAGGUAACGGCUUACCAAGGCAGCGAUGAAUAGCCGACCUGAGAGGGGGAUCGGCCACACUGGAACUGAGACACGGUCGAGACUCCUACGAGAGGCAGCAGUAGGGAAUCUUCCGCAAUGGGCGAAAGCCGGAUGGAGCAACGCCGCGUGAGUGAUGAAGGACUUCGGAUCGUAGAACUCUGUUAUUAGGGAAGAACAUAUGUGUAAGUAACUGUGCGCAGCUUGACGGUACCUAAUCAGAAAGCCACGGCUAACUACGUG